rnacentral:rRNA from 1 species
UUGAAAGAGAGUUUGAUCGCGCUGGCUCAGGGUGAACGCGCUGGCAGCAGGCCUAACACAUACCAAGUCGAACGGUAACAGGAAGCAGCUUACUGCUUCAGCGGCGAAAGUGGCGGACGGGUGAGUAAUGUCACAGGAAACUGCCUGAUGGAGAGGGAUAACUACUGGAAACGGUGGCUAAUACCUGCACCGCGCAUAACGUCCUGCCAAGACCAAAGAGGACCUUCGGGCCUCUUGCCUGCAUCAGAUAAUGUGCCCAGAUGGGAUUGUAGCAUUUGGUGAGGUAACGGCUCACCAAGGCGACGAUCCUAGCUGGUCUGAGAGGGGUGACCAGCCACACUGGAACUGAGACACGGUCCGGAAGAACUCCUACGGGGGCAGUGGGGAAUAUUGCACAAUGAGGCGCAAGCCUGAUGCAGCCAUGCCGCGUGUAUGAAGAAGGCGCUUCAGGUUGCUGUAGAAGUACUUUUCAGCGGGGAGGAAGAUUUGUGGUUAAUAACCGCAGCAAUUGACGUUACCCGCAGAAGAAGCUUUCGGCAACUCCCGUGCCAGCAGCCGCAGUAUUAUGCACGGAGGUGCAAGCGUUAAUCAAAUUACUGGGCGUAAAGCGCGCACGCAGGCAGUCUGUAAAGUCGGAUGUAAAUCCCCGGGCUCCCAACACAGGAACUGCGUUGAAACUGGCGGAAGGCUUGAGUCUUAUAUGUAGAGGGUGAAUUCCCGAGGUGGCGGUGUUGAGGAAAUGCGUAGGAUCUGGAGGAAUACCGGUGGCGAAGGCGGCCACGGACAAGAAGACCUUGACGCUCCGGAAUUAGAAGCGUGGGGAGCAAACAGGAUUAGAUACCUGGUGGUCCGCAUGCGUAAACGAUCGCAGAGGUUGGCCCUUGAGGCGUGGCUUCCGGGAGCUAACGCGCGUUAGUAGACCGCGGGAGUACGGCCGCAAGGUUGAAACUCAAAUGAAUUGUGGGGGCCCGCACAGGCGGUGGGGCGUGUGGUUUGAAUUCGAUGCAACGCGGUACCCACACAGUCUUGACAUCACGGAAGUUUUCCAGAGUGAGAAUGUGCCUUCUGAGACCGUGAGACAGGUGCUGCAUGGCUGUCGUCAGCUCGUGUUGUGGAAAUGUUGGGUUAGUCCGCAAGCAGGCGCAACCCUUAUCGCUGUUGCCAGCGAUUAGGUCAGGGGACGCUCUAGGGGACUACCAGUGAUAGGCUGGAAGGUGGGGAUGACGUCCAUCAUCGCUUGGCCCUUACGACGAGGGGCUACACGUGCUACAAUGGCGCGCCACAAGAGAGCGACCUCGCGCGAGGAGCAAGCGGACGGCCUCAUAAGGUGCGUCGUAGUCCGGAUUGGGUCUGCAACUCGACUCCGCGGGGUCGGAAUCGCUAGUAAUCGUGGAUCAGAUACCGCGGUAGCAGAUACGUUCCCGGGCCUUGUACACACCGCCCACGUCACCAUGGGAAUUGGGUUGCAAAGUAGGUAAACCUUCGGGAGGCGCUACUUUGUAUGAUUCUUGACUGGGGUGAAGUCAUAACAAAAGGUAACCGUAGGGGAACCUGCAGUUGGAUCACCUCUUAC